rnacentral:rRNA from 1 species
UGGCGAACGGGUGAGUAACACGUGGGUGAUCUGCCCUGCACUCUGGGAUAAGCCUGGGAAACUGGGUCUAAUACCGGAUAGGACCAUGCUUUAGUGUGUGUGGUGGAAAGUUCUUUCGGUAUAGGAUGAGCCCGCGGCCUAUCAGCUUGUUGGUGGGGUAAUGGCCUACCAAGGCGGCGACGGGUAGCCGGACUGAGAGGUUGGUCGGCCACAUUGGGACUGAGAUACGGCCCAG